rnacentral:tRNA from 1 species
GACUAGGUAGCUCAGUUGGUAGAGCAUCUCCCUUUUAAGGAGAGGGUCCUGGGUUCGAGUCCCAGUCAGGUCA